CAAACGCGAGGGGAGGCGCAAUGGGCACAGAGCUGCUGGCUCUCUAUAUUCAGCUGCUCAGAGGCGCUCUGACACCAUUCACUCCAGAGUCCUCCACGUCCAAAGACCUGCGCUCAAACACGCUCUCAACAGCUCCACACGGACGCCUUACUUACUUACUCCAUUGUGAUUUCCUGGGGGGGCAUCUUUUGGAUUAUUUUGACGCAAAACUUUCAAAUCAGAGAAAAUCCAACGCGCUUUAAAUGGUCCCCUAGAGAACAGGAGCUGUUCUAAUAUGUUUGACUUUCCAUUGCGUUGGGUCAAAGUGUGAAUCUUUUUUUUUUUUUUUUUUUUGCAAAGGUGAAGGACAAGUGCAAUGCGCGCCAGACUUGUUUAUUGGAUUUGCCUCCCGUGCGCGUAAAGGAAGGUUUAUUCUGUGCUGGAGCGCAGGGUUUGUUGAAGAGGACGCAGCCGAAUGUGAAUAAUAAGAAGACAUCUCAGCCUAAAGGUUUCAAGCAAGUGAAAACGAGGCGUCUGGGCGAGCUGCUGUGACUCUACACCGCUUCCCUCCCUGAGGGGAUGGUUGUGGAUCCUCUGGAGCCAGGAGCGACUCGGGGGCUCCUAAGCGACAGCUCUUUUUUCGUGCUUGAGGAAGACUUUCCAAUUAAAAGGAGAUGAGAGCCACAAUUUGUUGCUUCCUGCUGUGGACGACGUACCUAUUGGCCACUGCUGAGAAGGAAGCAGAGUUUCCCCAGGAGCUGAUCGAUCGGCUCUCCAACAGUGAAAUCCACAGCAUCAGCGACCUCCAGCGGCUACUGGAGAUUGACUCCGUAGGUACGGGAAACGAUGUUAUCGAGGAGCACAAGCAUCACAAGCACCACAAUCAUCAUAAGAACUCCUCCAAUCAUCAUGGUUACUACAAUGGACUGAAGAGCUCGCAGCUACACAGCCGACGCAAGAGGAGUCUUGUUGAAGAAGCCGUCCCUGCGGCGUGCAAGACAAGGACGGUGAUCUACGAGAUCCCCCGCAGCCAGGUGGAUUCCACGUCUGCCAACUUCCUGAUAUGGCCACCCUGUGUGGAGGUGAAGCGCUGCACAGGCUGCUGCAACACCAGCAACAUGCGCUGUCACCCGUCCCGCAAGCACCACCGCACAGUUAAGGUAGCCAAGGUGGAGUACGUGAGAAGGAGACCCAAGCUGAAGGAGGUCUUUGUGCGGUUAGAGGACCACCUGGAGUGUGUUUGCACAUCACAACAUCAUGUGGUAGAACACUUAGAUGCAGAGACAGGCCAUCGUAGGGUUAAAGGUAAAAAAAGGAAACCUAAAAAUCUAAGGCACAGCAAGGACUUAUUGGUCUCAUAAUAAAGUUGCUCUUAUUGCCCAAAGUCCACUGGAAGGCUGUGACAGGACACAGUAGAUGUGAGGUGAGGCCUCCUUCGAUUAAGGGACAGCAGACUUGGAUGGACCUAAACCAGAAGACACCUUAUUUUUUCUGUGUCCAUCUCCCUACCCACCAUGCAAACUUUGUUUAAGGAAAAUAUACUUUCUCGUUAAGUCAUGAGAAUGAAAAAGACUGAAAAGAAUCACAGAAUGCCAAAGGUGCUUUAAAAAAUCAGUGUUGAUGAGGGCAACUGAACUGUGCUGCCAAUUACAAAGAAAAGAGAAGAUGCCAUGAAGCUUGGACUCAGACGGGAUGGAAGGACUUUGGGAUGGAGACUUCAGAAGACAAGCAAAACGGCAAAUAGACUGUUGGGUCAAAAUGUUUUGGGUGUCCAGUGCUAAGACUCAAAAAAGUGAUCCAUUUUGUAUAAAAAAACUGUUGCAUUCAAAGGAAGACAGCAAAAGAAAAAUAGGAAUAAUAAUGUAAAGAAAAAGCUGGGGAGGGUUUUACAGAGGCAACAUUGUGACUGAUGGACAAUUUGUUCUUAUUGAGUAAACAGCCUAAAUUUUUAAAUUGCCUUACCUGCCAUGUACAUAUAAUCUUAAAAAAACAGGAUGCAUUGCUGAUUUGCAAUCUAUUUAUGCGUGUGGACAUUUGCUUUUAUCACUUUCAGUCUUUGUAUGUUUUUAAUAAUUUCUGCAGACAUGCGAGUGGUAUGUUUGGUCCAGUCCUUUGCUCUCACCAGUAUCACAAUCUCAGUGUCAUUUUGUUUUAAGCAGUUGUUUUUUUCAUUGUCAACCAUGUUUCUUGUUAUAUUGCAGUAUAUCUGAUUGAUGUCAAGUUUUGCAUAUGGUUUGGAUGUAUGUGUGCAAAGAGGAGAUGCGAGAGUCAGUAAAGGAAGAUGUUUUAUUUUUGUUAUGAAAUAUAUAAUGCAUACUUAUAUCCAAA